AGAGAGAGAGAGAGAGAGAGAGAGAGACGCAGGGAGAAAGAAGAGGAGAAGGAGAAGAAGAGAAGAAAAGAAGAAGAGAAGAGAAGGGGAUUUGCUUGUGGAUGAUCAUUCUUUCCUAGAAUUGAAGUCCUAACAUGGUAGCGAGUUGGUCAAGUGGGAGGUGUCGAAACCGUAAGUUUGGCAUACUCCAGUCGAAGUGAAGGUAGCAGGUGGCUUAGAGUGGGUCCACUACUGGUCAACGCCUUGGAGAGUGCUGAGACUCGUGUCGGGUGAUGUCUUUGGUUAGAUUGUUGUGUAGCUGAUUCGUCUAGAAGUUAACCUACAUGUUUUGUAAUUAAUUGAAGAGAGGGAUAUUUAUUAUGACUUGUGAGUUGAGUUUUUGGC